rnacentral:ncRNA from 1 species
GAAAGCCGUGUGCGGGAAAACCGCACGCACGGUUUGAGGUGGCAGGGGAUGGAAAAGUGCUAAGGAGAACCUAAACGGGCACGAAACCGGAAACGGUGGAUACGGCCAAGGGGAUACCUACUGUAAC